UUUAGAGUAGAAAAUAUAUAUUACUUCAUUUAUGUAUAUCUUCAUUCCCAAGAUAUGAUGCUUUAUAGAAAUACUAGUACAAGAUUCUAGAUGAUUCAUCACCACCAUCGUCUUGCAUAUUAGCUAAACAAUAUCAGGCUUUAGAUGGGAAAACUGAUAUACUACUAGUACUACUAAUAAUACCAAAACUACCCUAUGAACUUGUUGCUUUCUUUCUUGCCCCUGAUGUAACCUUGCAACCACAUAGGUUCCUUAGUUUGUCUUCUUGACUUCCUCAUCUUAUUGAGUGUGUAUAAGUCGUCUAACUCGGCUUCUUCUUGAUCCACCCGCUCAGCUAUCUCCUUUUCCUUUAGUUCCUCUUGGUCAGCCUUGUUGUUUACUUCAUUUCCCGUUUCUGUUGCUUUCAUAUCAGUUAGUUCCUCAUGUUCUAACUCAUUGUUAGUUUCUAUGAUUUCUUUUUCAUUUUACUGGGUAGGAGGAAUGGUCUUGGUGUUUGUAUCAACUGACUACUAGUACUGCAAGACUUAACGUCAGUCACACGUCGAUACUGUCUUUGGCCCUUGACGUAAUUCUUCUAAACCACCGCUGCCUUCUUCCACAACUCCUGAUCUGUAGUAGGGCGCUGACUGUUAGGGGGAUAUCUCUAAUCCAGCAAGCGUUUAUAAG
rnacentral:lncRNA from 1 species